rnacentral:rRNA from 1 species
UGAGCAAUCUGCCCUUCUCAUCGGAAUAAGCGUUGGAAACGACGUCUAAUGCCGAAUACGACCUCCUUUCACAUGAUCGGAGGUGGAAAGCUCCGGCGGAGAAGGAUGAGCUCGCGACCUAUCAGCUAGUUGGUGUGGGUAACGACCCACCAAGCGACGACGGGUAGCCGGCCUGAGAGGGU